GACGAACGCUGGCGGCGUGCUUAACACAUGCAAGUCGAACGAUGAUGCUGGAGCUUGCUCCAGUUGAUUAGUGGCGAACGGGUGAGUAACACGUGAGCAAUCUGCCCUUGACUCUGGGAUAACUGCGGGAAACUGUAGCUAAUACCGGAUACUUUCACCGGAAGGCAUCUUUUGGUGAUGAAAGAAUUUCGGUCAGGGAUGAGCUCGCGGCCUAUCAGCUUGUUGGUGAGGUAACGGCUCACCAAGGCGACGACGGGUAACCGGCCUGAGAGGGUGACCGGGCACGCUGGGGCUGAGACACGGCCCAGACUCCGACGGGAGGCAGCAGGGGGGAAUAUUGCACAAUGGGCUCAAGCCUGAUGCAGCAACGCCGCGUGAGGGAUGAAGGCCUUCGGGUUGUAAACCUCUUUUAGCAGGGAAGGAGCGAAAGUGACGGUACCUGCAGAAAAAGCACCGGCUAACUACGUGCCAGCAGCCGCCGCGG
rnacentral:rRNA from 1 species